GACGAACCGUGCGAACGUUGUUCGGAAUCACUGGGCUUAAAGGGCGCGUAGGCGGCGCAUCAAGUCCGGGGUGAAAGCCCCCGGCUCAACUGGGGAGGGUCAUUCGAUACUGAUCGACUCGAAGGCAGGAGAGGGAAGUGGAAUUCCCGGUGUAGUGGUGAAAUGCGUAGAUAUCGGGAGGAACACCGGUGGCGAAGGCGGUUCUCUGGGCCUUACCUGACGCUGAGGAGCGAAAGCGUGGGGAGCGAACAGG
rnacentral:rRNA from 1 species